rnacentral:rRNA from 1 species
GACGAACGCUGGCGGCGUGCUUAACACAUGCAAGUCGAACGGAAAGGCCCUGCUUUUGUGGGGUGCUCGAGUGGCGAACGGGUGAGUAACACGUGAGUAACCUGCCCUUGACUUUGGGAUAACUUCAGGAAACUGGGGCUAAUACCGGAUAGGAGCUCCUGCUGCAUGGUGGGGGUUGGAAAGUUUCGGCGGUUGUGGAUGGACUCGCGGCUUAUCAGCUUGUUGGUGGGGUAGUGGCUUACCAAGGCUUUGACGGGUAGCCGGCCUGAGAGGGUGACCGGCCACAUUGGGACUGAGAGACGGCCCAGACUCCUACGGGAGGCAGCAGUGGGGAAUAUUGCACAAUGGGCGGAAGCCUGAUGCAGCAACGCCGCGUGCGGGAUGACGGCCUUCGGGUUGUAAACCGCUUUCGCCUGUGACGAAGCGUGAGUGACGGUAAUGGGUAAAGAAGCACCGGCUAACUACGUG